GCUCCAAACCUUCCCAGGGUGCACCUUGCCUGGAUUGUGGUUGAUUAUUUUCGGCUGUAUAUUCCUUCAACCACAACUUAGCAGAAUGACUGAGAGGAGGAACUCCCAACAGAGAAAAGAUCCAGAGAAAAUGGCCUCUCCCACAGAUCUAAUGGAUGUGGAUAUAAGCAAGAUGUCAGAAAUAAACUUCAUGGUAGAAGUUAUGAUGUCAGUAGUCAGGCUGGAGAAAACUAUUAAUGACAGUUGGAAGGUUAAAAAGGUUAAAAUAAAGUAAGAAGGGACAUUGGAAUCAACCCAGCUCAGAGGCCGAGAGGAGUUGCUCCUCCCAAUGGUGUGUAGGACUUGGACAGAAGCCACUGGACUCACUUUCACCCCCUACACUCUCCAGCAAGUCAACACCCUUCUCUGAGCCUAGGCCUCUUCAGGUAUAACAUGGACCACAUGGCUUUGGAGAGAAGAGGUCUUUGGGCUGAUGUAUUUUUUUUUUUUAUAUGUAUAUUACUUUGAAGAAAGUUGUAUUUUCUCUACUCUCAGCUUCUCUUAGGAGCUGACAGGCUUUGCAGGUAAUUCUGGUCAAACCCCCUGAUUACAGUGAGCCAGCCUGCACUGUGGUACCCAGUGUUAUACUGGAAAUAUAAACAACUGACGGGUGUUUGGGUGUCUGUUUAAGAAGGAGUGGUGGCCCAUUUGUAUUUGGGCAGAGAAGUCCUGAUUUUGUGUUCAUACCCUGCAGGCCCCAUGAGAAGUCAGGUCCCCGGGCUCCAUCAGCAGGGCAGCCAGAGACAGUAGCACAGGCACCUGGGCUGUUGUAUCUGCUGAGACCAGAAGUGGUGGUUCUGUUCUUCUUCUAUUAUAUAAAGAAGCAUUCCAUUUUCUUGAGGGGCCCUAGGCUCAACAGGAUCAAUUCUCUUCCUGCAUGCUUUUGUUGGUGUUUGGAACCCUGCCAAUUUAAAAUCUUUAUAUUAUUCUCUGCACAGAAAUGUCUCCCUCUCUAUUAUGCUAAGUGAAAUAAGUCAGUCAGAGAAAGACAAAUAUCAUAUGAUCUCACCCUUAUGUGGAAGUUAAGAAACAAAACAGAUGAACAUAGGGAAAGGGAAGGAAAAAUAAAAUAAAUUGAAAUCAGAGUGGGAGAAAAACCAUAAGAGACUCUUAACUCUAGGAAACAAACUGAGGGUUGCUGGAGGGGAGGUUGGUGGGGUGAUGGGGUGAGAGGGUGAUGGGCAUUGAGGAGGGCACGUGAUGGAAUGAACACUGGGUGUUAUAUGCAACCGAUGAAUCACUGAACUCUACCUCUGAAACUAAUA
rnacentral:lncRNA from 1 species